rnacentral:rRNA from 1 species
CCCAGUGAACAAUUAAACGGCCGCGGUACCCUAACCGUGCAAAGGUAGCGUAAUCAUUUGUCUACUAAUUAUAGACCUGUAUGAAAGGCAAAAUGAGGGCCCAACUGUCUCUUAUAGUCAAUCAAUUAAACUGAUCUCCUAGUAAAAAAGCUAGAAUUCCCACAUAAGACCAGAAGACCCUGUGAAGCUUAAAUUAAACUAUUAAACCUUAUAAUAACUACUUUCGGUUGGGGCGACCUUGGAAAAAAAAAGAACUUCCAUACACAAUAACUACUCAUACCCAAUAGGCUCACCAGCCAUUAACUGACCCAGCAAGACUGACAAAUGAACCAAGUUACUCCAGGGAUAACAGCGCAAUCUUCUUCAAGAGCCCAUAUCAAAAAGAAGGUUUACGACCUCGAUGUUGGAUCAGGACAUCCUAA